rnacentral:rRNA from 1 species
UACAGAGGGUGCGAGCGUUGUCCGGAAUCACUGGGCGUAAAGGGCGCGUAGGCGGCCUGAUAAGUAGGGGGUGAAAUCCUGCGGCUUAACUGCAGGGCUGCCUCCUAGACUGUCUGGCUCGAGCACGGUAGAGGCAGAUGGAAUUCCCGGUGUAGCGGUGGAAUGCGUAGAGAUCGGGAAGAACAUCGGUGGCGAAGGCGGUCUGCUGGGCCGUUGCUGACGCUGAGGCGCGACAGCGUGGGGAGCAAACAGG